CUCACUGGUCGAGUGACCCCGCGCCGAAAAUGUACCGGGGCUAAACAUAUUACCGAAACUGUGGAUGAACCUCUUUAGAGGUUCGUGGUAGGAGAGCGUUCUAAGGGCGGUGAAGUCAGACCGGAAGGACUGGUGGAGCGCUUAGAAGUGAGAAUGCCGGUAUGAGUAGCGAAAGAAGGGUGAGAAUCCCUUCCACCGAAUAUCUAAGGUUUCCUGAGGAAGGCUCGUCCGCUCAGGGUUAGUCGGGACCUAAGCCGAGGCCGAUAGGCGUAGGCGAUGGACAACAGGUAGAGAUUCCUGUACCAGUGCUAAUUGUUUAACCGAUGGGGUGACACAGAAGGAUAGGGAAUCGCACGAAUGGAAAUGUGCGUCCAAGCAGUGAGUGUGAGAAGUAGGCAAAUCCGCUUCUCGCGAAGCAUGAGCUGUGAUGGGGAAGGAAAUUAAGUACGGAAGUUCCUGAUUUCACGCUGUCAAGAAAAGCCUCUAGGAAGAGUAGUACUGCCCGUACCGCAAACCGACACAGGUAGAUGAGGAGAGAAUCCUAAGGUGAGCGAGAGAACUCUCGUUAAGGAACUCGGCAAAAUGACCCCGUAACUUCGGGAGAAGGGGUGCUCUAUUAGGGUGCAAGCCCGAGAGAGCCGCAGUGAAUAGGCCCAGGCGACUGUUUAGCAAAAACACAGGUCUCUGCA
rnacentral:rRNA from 1 species